GCAGUCGUGGCUUAAUGGUUAGAGAGUCGGACUUGUAACCUGAAUGUGAAUCUGUAGGUCGUGCGUUAGAGUCUCAGCUCCGGCA